rnacentral:rRNA from 1 species
GACGAACGCUGGCGGCGUGCUUAACACAUGCAAGUGGAGCGACGAACCAGGGCUUGCCCUGGGGCAGAGCCGCGAACGGGUGAGUAACACGUGGGUAACGUGCCCCGAUGACUGGGACAACCCGGGGAAACCCGGGCUAAUACCGGAUAUGCCCCCUCACGCGAGUGAGGUGUGUAAAGGAAGCUUCGGCCUCCGCAUCGGGAUCGGCCCGCGGCGCAUUAGCUUGUUGGUGGGGUAACGGCCUACCAAGGCAACGAUGCGUAGCUGGUCUGAGAGGACGAUCAGCCACACUGGGACUGAGACACGGCCCAGACUCCUACGGGAGGCAGCAGUGGGGAAUCUUGCGCAAUGCGCGAAAGCGUGACGCAGCAACGCCGCGUGGGGAAGACGGCCUCGGUU